CAGUAGCCGCGGGAAUACAAAGGGUGCGAGCGUUAAUCGGAUUUACUGGGCGUAAAGCGUGCGUAGGCGGCUUCUUAAGUCGGAUGUGAAAUCCCUGAGCUUAACUUAGGAAUUGCAUUCGAUACUGGGAAGCUAGAGUAUGGGAGAGGAUGGUAGAAUUCCAGGUGUAGCGGUGAAAUGCGUAGAGAUCUGGAGGAAUACCGAUGGCGAAGGCAGCCAUCUGGCCUAAUACUGACGCUGAGGUACGAAAGCAUGGGGAGCAAACAGGAUUAGAGACCCGCGUAGUCCCUGUCUCUUAUAC
rnacentral:rRNA from 1 species